UACGGAGGGUGCAAGCGUUGUCCGGAUUUAUUGGGUUUAAAGGGUGCGUAGGCGGCCUGUUAAGUCAGGGGUGAAAGACGGUAGCUCAACUAUCGCAGUGCCCUUGAUACUGAUGGGCUUGAAUGAACUAGAGGUAGGCGGAAUGUGACGGUGUAGCGGUGAAAUGCAUAGAUAUCGUCCAGAACGCCGAUUGCGAAGGCAGGUGGCUACGCUUCGUCUGACACUGAGGCACGAAAGCGUGGGGAGCGAACAGG
rnacentral:rRNA from 1 species